rnacentral:rRNA from 1 species
GAUGAACGCUGGCGGCGUGCCUAAUACAUGCGAGUCGAGCGAACAGACGAGGAGCUUGCUCCUCUGACGUUAGCGGCGGACGGGUGAGUAACACGUGGAUAACCUACCUAUAAGACUGGGAUAACUUCGGGAAACCGGAGCUAAUACCGGAUAAUAUAUUGAACCGCAUGGUUCAAUAGUGAAAGACGGUUUUGCUAUCACUUAUAGAUGGAUCCGCGCCGCAUUAGCUAGUUGGUAAGGUAACGGCUUACCAAGGCAACGAUGCGUAGCCGACCUGAGAGGGUGAACGACCGCACGGAUACUGGGACACGAUCCAGACUCCUACGAUGAGCAGCAUUAUGAGAUCUUCCGCAAUCGGCGAAAGCCUGACGGAGCAACGCCCCGUAAGUGAUGAAAGUCUUCGGAUCUUAGAACUCUGUUAUUAGGGAAGAACAAAUAUGUAAGUAACUAUGCACAUCUGGGCGGUACCUAAUCAGAAAGCCACGGGUAACUACGUG